rnacentral:misc_RNA from 1 species
UCCGAGUUGACCCCGGCAGUCUUCUACGAGUCCCCGGCAUAGUCCGCUGGCAACAUAGAAUAAGGGUUGCGCUCGUUGCGGGACUUAACCCAACAUCUCACGACACGAGCUGACGACGGCCAUGCAGCACCUGUGUUCAGGCUCCCUUUCGGGCACUCCUCCAUCUCUGGAGGAUUCCUGACAUGUCAAGGGUAGGUAAGGUUUUCCGCGUUGCAUCGAAUUAAACCACAUCAUCCACCGCUUGUGCGGGCCCCCGUCAAUUCCUUUGAGUUUUAGCCUUGCGGCCGUACUCCCCAGGCGGAGUGCUUAACGCGUUAGCUACGACACCUCCGGGGUCAAUACCAGAAACAUCUAGCACUCAUCGUUUACGGCGUGGACUAC